rnacentral:ncRNA from 1 species
CCUAAUAUUUACUCUACCGAUCGUAUAUCCUUGACAAUAUGGGUCAAGAGUUUCUACCAAGGAACCGCAAAUUCCUGGCUACGAACAGGGCGCCUUGCCGC